rnacentral:rRNA from 1 species
CUACGGAGGGUCCGAGCGUUAUCCGGAAUCAUUGGGUUUAAAGGGUCCGUAGGCGGGAAUCUAAGUCAGUGGUGAAAUCUUGCAGCUCAACUGUAAAAUUGCCAUUGAUACUGGAUUUCUUGAAUUAGUGUGAAGUGAUUAGAAUGUGUAGUGUAGCGGUGAAAUGCAUAGAUAUUACACAGAAUACCAAUUGCGAAGGCAGAUCACUAACACUAUAUUGACGCUGAGGGACGAAAGCGUGGGGAGCGAACAGGAUUAGAAACCCCAGUAGUCC